rnacentral:rRNA from 1 species
UACAGAGGUCUCGAGCGUUAGGCGGAAUCACUGGGCUUAAAGCGUGUGUAGGUGGAUGCCUAAGUACCUUGUGAAAUCCCACAGCUUAACUGUGGAACUGCUUGGUAUACUGGGUGUCUUGAGUCACUCAGGGGCGAGCGGAACAAAUGGUGGAGCGGUGAAAUGUGUAGAUAUCAUUUGGAACGCCAAUGGUGAAAACAGCUCGCUGGGGGUGCACUGACACUGAGACACGAAAGCCAGGGGAGCGAACGGG